rnacentral:rRNA from 1 species
UACGAAGGGGGCUAGCGUUGCUCGGAAUUACUGGGCGUAAAGGGCGCGUAGGCGGAUAUCUAAGUUGGGGGUGAAAUCCCGGGGCUCAACCUCGGAACUGCCUUCAAAACUGGAUAUCUUGAGUUCGGGAGAGGUGAGUGGAACUCCGAGUGUAGAGGUGAAAUUCGUAGAUAUUCGGAAGAACACCAGUGGCGAAGGCGACUCACUGGCCCGAUACUGACGCUGAGGCGCGAAAGCGUGGGGAGCAAACAGG